rnacentral:rRNA from 1 species
GGCUCAGGAUGAACGCUGGCGGCGUGCCUAAUACAUGCAAGUCGAACGAGAAGCCUUGGAUUAUCUAAGGUGGAGAGUGGCGCACGGGUGAGUAACACAUGGCUGACCUGCCCCUCAGAGGGGGACAACCGGUGGAAACGCCGGCUAAUACCCCAUGCUUGCGUCCGGGUUAGACGCCGGAUGCAGAGAAGGCCGAGGCGCUGAGGGAGGGGGCUGUGGACCAUCAGCUAGUUGGUAUGGUAACGGACUACCAAGGCGACGACGGAUAGGGGGCCUGACACGGUGACCCCCCAUACGGGCACUGAGACACGGGCCCGACUCCUACGGGAGGCAGCAGUAAGGGAUAUUGCGACAAUGGGCGAAAGCCUGACGCAGCAACGCCGCGUGGAGGAUGACGGCCUUCGGGUUGUACACUCCUUUUCUGUGGGAAGAGGAAGGACGGUACCACAGGAAGAAGUCUCGGCUAACUACGUGCCAGCAGCCGCGGUACAACGUAGGAGGCGAGCGUUAUCCGGAUUUACUGGGUGUAAAGCGCGUGCAGGCGGUCUGGUAAGUCCAUCGUGAAAGCUCCCGGCUCAACCGGGAGACGACGUGCGAAACUGCGAUGCUAGAGACCGGUAGAGGCGUACGGAAUUCCGGGUGUAGUGGUGAACUGCGUAGAUAUCCGGAGGAACACCAGUGGCGAAGGCGGUACGCUGGGCCUGGUCUGACGCUAAGACGCGAAAGCAUGGGGAGCGAACGGGAUUAGAAACCCCGGUAGUCCAUGCCGUAAACGAUGCUAACUAGGUGUUGCGGGUAAAAGACCGGCAGUGCCGGAGUCAACGCGAUAAGUUAGCCACCUGGGGACGACGGUCGCAAGGCUAAAACUCAAAGGAAUCGACGGGGGCCCGCACAAGCAGCGGAGCGUGUGGUUUAAUUCGAGGCUACACGAAGAACCUUACCUGGGCUCGACAUGACGGUGGUAGGGAACCGAAAGGGGACCGACCUUCGGGACCCGUCACAGGUGCUGCAUGGCUGUCGUCAGCUCGUCUCGUGAGAUGUUCGGUUAAGUCCGGUAACGAGCGCAACCCUCAUCGCUAGUUACAAGUGUCUAGCGAGACUGCCCGUUCAACGCGGGAGGAAGGCGGGGAUGACGUCAAGUCAGCAUGGCCUUUAUGUCCAGGGCUACACACACGCUACAAUGGCCGGUACAAUGGGUCGCCAACCCGCGAGGGGGACCCAAUCCACCAAAGCCGGUCACAGUUCGAAUUGCAGGCUGCAACCCGCAUGCAUGAAGUCGGAGUUGCUAGUAACCGCAGGUCAGCUAUACCGCGGUGAUACGUUCCCGCGCCUUGACACACCGCCCGUCACGUCAUGGGAGCUGGUCAUGCCUGAAGUCGGUGAGCCAACCGC